rnacentral:rRNA from 1 species
GAUGAACGCUGGCGGCGUGCUUAACACAUGCAAGUCGAACGGAAAGGCCCAAGCUUGCUUGGGUGCUCGAGUGGCGAACGGGUGAGUAACACGUGGGUGAUCUGCCCUGCACUUUGGGAUAAGCCUGGGAAACUGGGUCUAAUACCGGAUAGGACCAUCGUUUAGUGUCGGUGGUGGAAAGUUUUUCGGUGUGGGAUGAGCUCGCGGCCUAUCAGCUUGUUGGUGGGGUAAUGGCCUACCAAGGCGUCGACGGGUAGCCGGCCUGAGAGGGUGUACGGCCACAUUGGGACUGAGAUACGGCCCAGACACCUACGGGAGGCAGCAGUGGGGAAUAUUGCACAAUGGGCGCAAGCCUGAUGCAGCGACGCCGCGUGGGGGAUGACGGCCUUCGGGUUGUAAACUCCUUGCGCCAAGGACGAAGCGUUUUGUGACGGUACUUGGAGAAGAAGCACCGGCUAACUACGUG